AGUUGUCAACAUUGACAGAAACAGAACUAAAAACAUGGCGGCUAUGGCAGCUCCUACAACGCUUGUCGCGAAGCGACGAAAACAUUUUCUCGGUGUUCCAGCACCGUUGGGAUAUGUUGCCGGUGUCGGAAGAGGUGCCACUGGCUUCACCACACGUUCCGAUAUUGGUCCGGCUCGGGAUGCAAGUGACGUUCCUGACGAUCGUCAUGCGCCACCCACCAAACGGAA
rnacentral:lncRNA from 1 species